GUGGGGAAUAUUGGACAAUGGGCGAAAGCCUGAUCCAGCCAUGCCGCGUGUGUGAAGAAGGUCUUCGGAUUGUAAAGCACUUUAAGUUGGGAGGAAGGGCAGUAAGUUAAUACCUUGCUGUUUUGACGUUACCGACAGAAUAAGCACCGGCUAACUUCGUGCCAGCAGCCGCGGUAAUACGAAGGGUGCAAGCGUUAAUCGGAAUUACUGGGCGUAAAGCGCGCGUAGGUGGUUCAGUAAGUUGGAAGUGAAAUCCCCGGGCUCAACCUGGGAACUACUUUCAAAACUGCUGAGAUAGAGUACGGUAGAGGGUGGUGGAAUUUCCUGUGUAGCGGUGAAAUGCGUAGAUAUAGGAAGGAACACCAGUGGCGAAGGCGACCACCUGGACUGAUACUGACACUGAGGUGCGAAAGCGUGGGGAGCAAACAGGAUUAGAUACCCUAGUAGUCC
rnacentral:rRNA from 1 species